rnacentral:rRNA from 1 species
ACGCACGCUGGCGGCGUGCUUCACACAUGCAAGUCGUACGGUAAGGCCCUUUCGGGGGUCCACGAGUGGCGAACGGGUGAGUAACACGUGAGUAACCUGCCCACAACUUUGGGAUAACGCUAGGAAACUGGUGCUAAUACUGGAUAUGUGCUCCUGCUGCAUGGUGGGGGUUGGAAAGCUCCGGCGGUUGUGGAUGGACUCGCGGCCUAUCAGCUUGUUGGUGGGGUAGUGGCCUACCAAGGCGGCGACGGGUAGCCGGCCUGAGAGGGUGACCGGCCACAUUGGGACUGAGAUACGGCCCAGACUCCUACGGGAGGCAGCAGUGGGGAAUAUUGCACAAUGGGCGCAAGCCUGAUGCAGCAACGCCGCGUGCGGGAUGACGGCCUUCGGGUUGUAAACCGCUUUCAGCAGGGACGAAGCUUUUUGUGACGGUACCUGCAGAAGAAGCACCGGCUAACUACGUG